UACGUAGGGUGCGAGCGUUGUCCGGAAUUAUUGGGCGUAAAGGGCUCGUAGGCGGUUUGUCGCGUCGGGAGUGAAAUCCACUGGCUUAACUGGUGGCUUGCUUUCGAUACGGGCAGACUGGAGGUAUGCAGGGGAGAACGGAAUUCCGGGUGGAGUGGUGAAAUGCGUAGAUAUCCGGAGGAACACCAAAGGCGAAGGCAGUGUCCUGGGGAGUACCUGACGCUCAGGUGCGAAAGCCAGGGGAGCGAACGGG
rnacentral:rRNA from 1 species